ACCAUAUGAUGGUGUCUACUGGGACCCACCGCCUUCUGAAAGGUACAACUUCAAAUACCCUCGCCCUUCCAAACCCCGAGCCCCACGAAUCUACGAAGCACAUGUCGGCAUGAGCAGCUCAGAGCCACGUGUAAAUUCGUAUCGUGAGUUUGCAGAUGAUGUUUUACCUCGAAUUAAGGCAAAUAACUAUAAUACUGUCCAGUUGAUGGCCAUAAUGGAACAUUCUUACUAUGGAUCAUUUGGGUAUCAUGUUACAAACUUUUUUGCUGUGAGCAGUAGAUCUGGA
rnacentral:misc_RNA from 1 species